rnacentral:rRNA from 1 species
ACUCCUACGGGAGGCAGCAGUGGGGAAUAUUGCACAAUGGGCGCAAGCCUGAUGCAGCCAUGCCGCGUGUAUGAAGAAGGCCUUCGGGUUGUAAAGCACUUUCAGUUGUGAGGAAGGUGGUGUCGUUAAUAGCGGCAUCAUUUGACGUUAGCAACAGAAGAAGCACCGGCUAACUCCGUGCCAGCAGCCGCGGUAAUACGGAGGGUGCGAGCGUUAUCCGGAUUUAUUGGGUUUAAAGGGUCCGUAGGCGGAUUAAUAAGUCAGUGGUGAAAUUCCCAUCGCUUAACGAUGGAACUAGCCCAUUGGAUACUGUUAGUCUUGAAUGAGGUGCAGUGGUUGGAAUGUGUAGUGUAGCGGGUGAAAUGCAUAGAUAUUACACAGAACACCGAUUGCGAAGGCAGAUCACUAACCCU